GCUUCGGUGGUAAAAGAUGAGUAUGCGUUCUAUUAGCUAGAUGGUGUGGUAACGGCACACCAUGGCAACGAUAGAUAGGGGCCCUGAGAGGGGGAUCCCCCACACUGGUACUGAGACACGGACCAAACUCCUACGGGAGGCAGCAGUGAGGAAUAUUGGACAAUGGAGGCAACUCUGAUCCAGCCAUGCCGCGUGCAGGAAGACUGCCCUAUGGGUUGUAAACUGCUUUUAUACAGGAAGAAACCGCUCUACGUGUAGAGCUCUGACGGUACUGUAAGAAUAAGGAUCGGCUAACUCCGUGCCAGCAGCCGCGGUAAUACGGAGGAUCCAAGCGUUAUCCGGAAUCAUUGGGUUUAAAGGGUCCGUAGGUGGAUAAUUAAGUCAGAGGUGAAAGUUUGCAGCUCAACUGUAAAAUUGCCUUUGAUACUGGUUAUCUUGAGUUAUUAUGAAGUAGUUAGAAUAUGUAGUGUAGCGGUGAAAUGCAUAGAUAUUACAUAGAAUACCAAUUGCGAAGGCAGAUUACUAAUAAUCAACUGACACUGAUGGACGAAAGCGUGGGGAGCGAACAGGAUUAGAUACCCUGGUAGUCCACGCCGUAAACGAUGGUUACUAGCUGUUCGGACUUCGGUCUGAGUGGCUAAGCGAAAGUGAUAAGUAACCCACCUGGGGAGUACGUUCGCAAGAAUGAAACUCAAAGGAAUUGACGGGGGCCCGCACAAGC
rnacentral:rRNA from 1 species